AUUGAACGCUGGCGGCAUGCUUUACACAUGCAAGUCGAACGGUAACAGGCCUUCGGGUGCUGGCGAGUGGCGAACGGGUGAGUAAUGCAUCGGAACGUGCCCAAUCGUGGGGGAUAACGUAGCGAAAGUUACGCUAAUACCGCAUAAGCCCUGAGGGGGAAAGGCAGGGGAGUCGCAAGACCUUGCGCGAAUGGAGCGGCCGAUGUCAGAUUAGCUAGUUGGUGGGGUAAAGGCCUACCAAGGCGACGAUCUGUAGCGGGUCUGAGAGGAUGAUCCGCCACACUGGGACUGAGACACGGCCCAGACUCCUACGGGAGGCAGCAGUGGGGAAUUUUGGACAAUGGGCGCAAGCCUGAUCCAGCCAUG
rnacentral:rRNA from 1 species